rnacentral:rRNA from 1 species
GACAGAGGGGGCAAGCGUUGUUCGGAAUUACUGGGCGUAAAGCGCACGUAGGCGGCUUUGUAAGUUAGAGGUGAAAGCCCAGGGCUCAACCCUGGAAUUGCCUUUAAGACUGCAUCGCUUGAACAUCGGAGAGGUAAGUGGAAUUCCGAGUGUAGAGGUGAAAUUCGUAGAUAUUCGGAAGAACACCAGUGGCGAAGGCGACUUACUGGACGAUUGUUGACGCUGAGGUGCGAAAGCGUGGGGAGCAAACAGG